GACGAACGCUGGCGGCGUGCUUAACACAUGCAAGUCGAACGGAAAGGCCCUGCUUUUGUGGGGUGCUCGAGUGGCGAACGGGUGAGUAACACGUGAGUAACCUGCCCUUGACUUUGGGAUAACUUCAGGAAACUGGGGCUAAUAACGGAUAGGAGCUCCUGCUGCAUGGUGGGGGUUGGAAAGUUUCGGCGGUUGGGGAUGGACUCGCGGCUUAUCAGCUUGUUGGUGGGGUAGUGGCUUACCAAGGCUUUGACGGGUAGCCGGCCUGAGAGGGUGACCGGCCACAUUGGGACUGAGAUACGGCCCAGACUCCUAUGGGAGGCAGCAGUGGGGAAUAUUGCACAAUGGGCGGAAGCCUGAUGCAGCAACGCCGCGUGCGGGAUGACGGCCUUCGGGUUGUAAACCGCUUUCGCCUGUGACGAAGCGUGAGUGACGGUAAUGGGUAAAGAAGCACCGGCUAACUACGUG
rnacentral:rRNA from 1 species